ACAAAAUUAUUCAUAUCCUCACAUGCAUGUUACAGAAAAAGGAUCGAGGAGAGAACAAUGGCAACUAAUCACAGAAAGAAGCAGGUGAUAGCAAUAAUCGGUCUCUUGGCCUGCAAAUACAGCCUUUCAAAAGGUUUCGAUCCCAUAGUGUUUGAGUUGGAGGGUAGCAUUGGGGGUGUGUGGACUAAGACCAUUGAGAGUACCAAGUUGCAAAGACCUUUUUACCAGUUCUCUGAUUUUCCAUGGCCUGAUUCUGUAACCGAUAUGUUCCCCGACCAACAAGCUGUGCUGGAGUACAUUGAAUCGUAUGCUCGUCACUUCGACUUGCUCCGCCACAUUCAGUUCAAUAGCAAAGUGUUGAGCCUCAGACCUCAGUUAUGAAUCUGGUGGCGGCUCUGACGGAGAUCAAUGGAAUUUGUGGGGCAGCACCGGUGCCGGCGAGCCUUUAAGCAGUAAAGGGAAGUGGAACGUCACUGUACAGGACACUCGAACCCCCUCCCCGCAGGUAUACCAAGUUCAGCCAAGUUCCAAAUAUCCCUCAAUUCCCUCCAAACAAAGGUCCCGAAGUUUUUGAGGGUAAAGUUAUCCAUUCAAUGGAUUAUUCCAAAAUGGACUCCACAAUUGCAACCAACUUCGUCAAAGGAAAACAUGUAGCCGUCAUUGGGUCCCAGAAAUCAGGAAUGGACAUUGCCAUGGAAUGCUCCAUCGUUAAUGGGAAUAUUGAACGUCCAUGCACAGUAAUAACCAGGACACCGCAUUGGAACAUUCCCGAUUAUUUUCCAUGGGGAUUCCCUUUGGCAUAUCUCUACCUAAAUCGAUUCUCCGAACUUAUGGUGCAUAAACCCGGCGAAGGCCUUCUUCUAACAACGAUUAGUCAUACUUUCUCGUUCACAUUGACAAUGCAUCCGAAGACAAAGCCAUACACCAUGAGAUUGACUAAAGGUUUCUUGAUCUGAUCAGAUGAACAUAUUAGGAAACAAGCUAAGUACUGUUCGCUUCUGGCCGUGGACUGUAGCCAUAUUUCUCGCUCAAAACUUAACCAUUAUAUUGUAGAUACAUUGGGCUCUAUAUAUACCCUAAAUAUAUUUCCUGAAUUUCAAUAACAAAGGACAGAGAAUCUGAGUAGCUUUCUAAAUUGGAAAGACCUUCAAUAUGGAAAGGGAGGUUAUUGAACUCCUCUAUCACGUAAAAUUCACUUGUUGCACAAGCAACCAACCUCUGAUCGUCCAAACUCACAAAAAAUAUACUAAAGCGGAUACCUGAUAGGGAGGUAAUUAAUGGCAUGUAAAAAGCAAAGAAAAGAUUCUUUACAUGACACCACUAGGCACCCGAAAGGAUAAAUGAACUAAGAAAGUGGAGUUUAACUGGAUAGUUACAAUAUUAAGGUUACAUGUCCACUAUAUAAGUCAGAAAAAUCAAACUAUAUGACUGAUAUCUAACACAUAUACAUGCAAGUCUGCAAGUUAAGUGAGGAAACAAGAAAAAUAAAUACAAUUGCUGCUGAAACAACUCCGCAACAUGUGUCGACAAAGUUACUAUUCUUCCUUCUCAAGUUAUAGAAUCCAUCUCAAAAUUAUUAGAAGUCAUCUUAAAGUUACUACUCAUAAGUUCAAAGUUACAACAAUAUGAUUUCUACUUUUUCUAUCACAAAACUUAUAACAUGAAGUACUAAAUUGAUUUCACUCAUAUUUUACAGAGGUGGGCCUUCUCAAAAUUUGUAGAAAGCUAUUUACAACACAAACUGGGGCUUGCAAAACAUGGAAUGGUGCCAGAGCAUAGUUUCUUAAACGAAUUGAGUUCAUGUUUAAUUUCUAUAGUGCCUGAGAGCUUUUACGAUAGAGUUCGGGAAGGAAGUAUCAAGCUCAAGAAAGCAAAGAGCUUUGGAUUCUCUAAAGAAGGCAUCAUGCUCGAGGGUCAGGCUGAACCAAUAAAAUCCGACUUAAUCAUACUCGCUACUGGCUUCAAGGGAAUUGAUAAGCUCAAACACAUUUUUGAAUCACCAAAAUUCCAGGGCUUCAUUGCGGGGAAAGAUGAUUCUGCAGUUCCUCUCUAUAGGGAAUGCAUUCAUCCCCGAAUUCCACAACUGGCAAUAAUUGGAUUCUCAGAAAGCGUAGCAAAUCUAUACACCUCAGAAAUAAGAUGCCGAUAGCUGGCAGAACUUCUUGAUGGAAAAUUUAAGCUACCUAAUAUCAAGGUCAUGGAAGAAGACAUAGAAGAAUGGGAUAAAUACAAGAAGAGAUAUUCAUAUUCGAAGAACUACAGGAGAUCAUGCAUCGCUGCGUUGCAUAUUUGGUACAAUGACCAGUUGUGCAGGGACAUGGGCUGGAAUCCUAAGAGGAAAAAGGGUCUUUUGGCUGAGUGGUUCGAUCCUUAUGGACCAAUGGAUUACGCCGGCUAACAUAUAGUAUAAGAGUAUCCUCUCCCAGUUUCAGAGAGGUCUUCUUUCAUCUGUUUCUCGCUUGUUUUCAAAAUCCUACUGUACUUUUCUUUUUUUUCUUUGUGUUGACGGCCGGGUGCCUUACAACUUGUUUGGA